CCUCCUCGAUCCCAUCUCGAGCCCUAGCCUGCCGCCACCUCCUGCCCCAGCUCGCCUCACCUCAAGCCGCCCUCCGCCGCCCCGCGCCGCCCGCCCCCGCCGCCGCCGCCACCUCCAGCCAGCCUCGCGUCGUGCCGCUCUCCACCACCGCCACACCCCGCGCCGUGUCCCCCCGCUGCGCUCGCAAAGGACCUCGAGGCCUGCUGCCCCGCCCGGCGCACCCACCUCGCUCAAGGUUGGGCGAGCGCAGAAGCAGAGUUCGGGACGACGGAUCGGAAUUCAUUGACUGGUUCUCUCUUUCUCUCCUCUCCCCUGGAUUCAUGGAGGUGGUGGAUCAAUCUUGCCUUCGUGGCGGCGGCGGAACGAGCUCCGUGAGAUCAGAUUCCUCCUGGUGUUUGGAAUGUUUUCGGCUGGUUUGAUUUUCUAGCUACGUCCAAGCAGGGCACUGGAUUGAUUUCACCAAUCAAAGCUAGCUGACUUACUAGCUACGUCCCAAGAAGGCCAAUACAAUAUGUUGAUCCAUUUGGUUGUUGCGGCUGGAAAGUAACACAUCUGGGGCUCAGGAGGUGCGUCAUUCACACUAGAUCGUACCCGGAGUUCUACUAUUAGGUAUGAUUACACCUGGGAAGCUACCCUUCCUGGAUAACUAUUUUAGUAUCUGUUUUUAUUUACUGAUGAUGAGAACCAAAUAAAUUGGCUACUGUCAUGUUCCUCCCUUAAAAAAAGAUUCUGGUAGAUGUGCUUCACAAUAAUAAUGGUAAUACGUAAAGGAGUUCUUGCUGCAACUUGGCGCAUUUAUAUAUGGUACCACUUACCUGCGUUACCAGUUUGCGUUAAGGAUUUUGCUACUAUCGCCAAGGUAUCUACAGAAUUACAAAUAUGAUGCAACAUGAUUUUGCUAAUGUCGGUUACAAAUAUGAUGCAACAUAAUUUUGCUAAUGUCGGUUACAAAUAUGAUGCAACAUAAUUUACUUAGGCUUAAGUAUAUGAGCAAAUAGUUGGAGAGCUACGAGCUAAAGAAAUAUCACACUCUAUAAUACAAUUCUUGUCUAACUGAACCAAGUUCAGUUUUGAGUAUAGAGAAAUGUAAUAUAGCAACCAUUUCAAGGCUGCAUCUUAUUUAAGAAAGUGAUGAGAUGAAUGUAGGGCAUGCUUAUCGAAUGUAAAUGGACACAGUAUUCAGCCCUUACAACAGGAGUAUAGAAGCCUAGACCUUACUGAUUCGAUGAUAUGGUACGUGCAACAGAGGAACUUGAUGCAACAGACCACCCUCCAUUUACAAACCUUUCGAUGCAGCAUUAGAAAUUGUGCCAUAUGUAAUGGCAAUGCAUUUCUUCCGUUUUGGAAGUUAUAUUACGAAUUUUAGUAUGUCUUAUAGUUUUUCAAUAACCAAUGUGUCGUGACAAUACAAAAAUGAUCUUGCAUAUUAAAACACUAACAGGGUACCGGCUAUAGAUCAAUACUUACCAUGAAUUUCUGCAAUCCAUACCUCUUUUAGAUAGUAGCACAAAAGAUGGGAGAUGUUACAACAGAAGUACAUGAUAAUGGCUGAUCUGAUAUCUCAACAAGGUAAUAUGGCUGGUCCGAAAAUUUUUGCGACCCUUAAACAUGUCAGUGCAUUGUCACGAACCUUCCUUGAAGAUAGAGAUAUGCCAAUGACCUUUAUCCGAUUCCUGAGUUUCAGAGGUAAUGGGUGGAACAAUUGUAGAGUUUGUUUUUCAGAUAAAGAACAAAGGGCUAGAUUGUCCUGAAAAAGUGAUGGCCGCCAAACCUCCCAAAAAUUAAUCGGCCAUUAAUUUACGGGACUAUUUUUCAGUCUAAUUAGUGGAGACUUAGAGAGUGACAAAAAUGUUUUUAAAAAACUAAUAUAAAAAUAUGAAAUAUUUAGUUAUUCUCUAUACCUGAGAAAGCAAUAAAGAACUUUGUGUUAGGCAGUGCACUGCGGGAGUGUGUACUGUGACUAUUACUGCACCGCCGAGGAAGGCUUGAUCUUUCCCACAGGUCCACCUUCUUUGCCUUUCCAUUCUUUGAACUGGAUCAGUUUUGAUAUUCUAACAUUGAUGGAAAAUCAUUAUCAUCUGUAAAGCCACAUUUCAUUUUAUGAUUUUUAGCAGAGGCUGCAUAGGCCUCCUGCAUGAAGCCUGCGAUUUGAGGCAGUUCUUUCCGCUCCACCUCAUGCCCGUGCAUUGUUGGUACGCGUAUUUGAGCUCGUGUGUUUCUGCAAGCGCAAACUAGAUACCGAAAUCAAGGGAUUUGAUUGGUAUGUGAUGGAAAAAAGGAGAGGAAUAGCAGCAGGCAAUAGAAGGAUUUUUGAAUAGAUACCUUUUUCUCUGUAGAAUUUGUAACUGUGAUCCGAUAGUUAAUAACUGAAGCCUUGUGCGUGUCUUCUUCUUAAGUUUUGCACAAGCAGCAGCGCUAAAAUUUACCAUGUUUUGUUUUCAUUACCCCGCGCUAAAGUGUAUAUGUAUGCUGACCAAUGACCAUAAACUAUACAUGAUUGGGCAAAGAAUCACUCUGGUGACCCAGAGAUAGAUGAAGCUUUAAAGAAGGGAGAAGAUGCUGGGGCUUGCCUUGGUUAGCAGCAAUAACCAUUUCAUUUUUGUGUUUAUCAGCAUAAGCUAAUAUCUGGAAGCCGGGCUUCUUUACUCUGUAGUCCUGCAAUUUUUCAUGUUCCUGGUGUCACUUUCCCAGUACUCUCCUGUAGCAGUGUUUUGUGCUAAAAAGUGAAAAUUUCAACGUUUUGCAGUCACUACCAGCAAGUAAUAGCACUGACUAUUAUUUUAAAUAGAAUAUGAAAUUGAGCUUUCAGCUGCAUCUUUUAGCAUCCUAGCGCUCUCAUCAACUUCAGAGUUACCACUGGUGUCACUUUUUUCAAGAAAUCUAGAAAGAAGCAAGGAUUCUCAAGUAAGACAAGUCUGCUUACAAAAAUUUGCCUACUGGAAAGUAGAUAAGAGACUCAUGAAGUAAGAAGACAUGCCUACAUAUCAUACAUAGCAGGCUUCUGACUUCUCUGAUUCUUCAAGCCUUGAGGCUGUGAAACAUCUAUGCUGACCUUCAUUUGAUUAGGUUCAGCGUUCACUGCUAUGAAAGAAGAAGGCAUAGAUUUGCCUUGUAGAAUUGCCAUGGCAGUGAGAACGGAUAAAUAUCUACAACAGGCAAUACAUUAUUUUGAAGCUACAUGGAAAGCAAAUAUGACUGUAUGGUUCCCACUCAAAGUACAGGCCCAACAAACUUUUUUGAAGUAGGAGUCUAAAACUACAAAUCCAUCUAUUCCUAGAAUGGAGCUGGUUGGAGUUGAGCCUACAAUUGAGUGGGUAGUUUGGUGGCACCGACAUCCAGCUGAAAGUUAGGAGGGUUAGUAAAGCAAAUUUGUUCAUGAGGAAAUGUGUCAGCAAAACAUUGAGUCAAAGUGCAAGUCAAAUGCUCUUAACAAAUUUUUUGUCGCUUUUCCUUAAUUACAAUUCUUAUUUUUUUUAGUUGGCAUUGAUAUACAACAGAAAAUCCGGUGGCUUUUUUGCCCUCUCAUCAACCAUUGUAUUUUUGAAUUGUAUCAGUCUAUGUAAAAGAAUUCAGUACCUUAUGUUUUGUAUAUUUGGAAAUGUCUAAA